rnacentral:rRNA from 1 species
UACGUAGGGUGCAAGCGUUAAUCGGAAUUACUGGGCGUAAAGCGUGCGCAGGCGGCUUUGCAAGACAGAUGUGAAAUCCCCGGGCUCAACCUGGGAACUGCAUUUGUGACUGUAUAGCUAGAGUACGGCAGAGGGGGAUGGAAUUCCGCGUGUAGCAGUGAAAUGCGUAGAUAUGCGGAGGAACACCGAUGGCGAAGGCAAUCCCCUGGGCCUGUACUGACGCUCAUGCACGAAAGCGUGGGGAGCAAACAGG